GGAGAGUUUUCUCUCUCCCUGCCCUGGACUAGAGUCAGACUGUGCCCUGAGGAGAAGCAGCGGAGAGUGGGACUACGUCGU
rnacentral:pre_miRNA from 1 species